UAAACCACAAAUAUCAACGGAGAUAGACUUAUGUUCUAUGUCAUCCCACCACAUGUUCCGGUAUCUGCUUAGCCCACACUAUAAACACUCAGAAAUGUUUGUUUGGUACGUUCUGACUUCUGAGUGUUCUAAAUUCGGCUUGGUUGACGAAAGCAAGAGCUUCUAAUCUAGCUUUACAACUUUUUUUCGGCUUUCUAUGAAUUAUUUUCGAAGCAACGGAAAGUUUAAGAAGAAAUUAAGAUGGCCAUAUAUUGAAUUUAUCACACAAGUCGCAGCGGAGGUACCAUGGAAGCAGGCCAGCUUCUUGUAUCGAGAAUUCAGAUGCCAGUCAUUUCCAAUUAACGGCCACUCCACGAACCAAAAUCUCCAACAAUAGUCACGAUCUCUGGCGAUUUGUGGUAGGGAAUAUAAGUUAGAUUGGCCGAAGCUGUUGGACAUGACGUGCCUUCUCACGCGUUGCCAACCCGGUGCGGUCAUAGUUUUGGACGAUGCACUGAUAGAUAAUACAGCUUUUGAAGUCGAGCAAGAAGCACACGCAUAAUUUUCGCUACUACCGGACAAGAUUCUUUUGAUCAAAUUAUAGGUUCAUGGUCAAGAUUCUUUUGCUUCAUGAGAAAUCGCAUCCAAAAAGCUAACCCACAGUCAACUUGGCCGAAAGAAAAGGGGAAGAGAAAGGAAGGGCAGGCACUCACAUGUCAAAAAUUCAGACAAUAAUGGAGUCUUUAAAAAUAUCCGAGUCGUGCUAAUACAUUUCUACAAGUUGUGGUCUGUGGCAAAAGCUAACAAAAGAAAUCCUACUAUUGAAUUAUAUCAUACUUGAAAGAAGAUGACGAUGAUGCUGCCUCCUGGAAUGACCGCGCGAAUGUGCUGAACAGACACCUCUCUUCAAAAGCAAGCAUCCAGCAGGCAACAGCAGCAGAGUGCCGCUAAACUGCAAAAUAUACAGACUGGCGGUCUCUAGCGUUUUCUAUUUUAAAUUUCGACAAGGAUCAACAAUGUCAGGAAGCAAGAACUGUCCACCUCUCAGCAGCAAAAUGAGGAAUGGAAAGACCUGUAGCCCGUAAAGGGUAUGAAUGGUAUUGACUAGUUCAAUAGAACCACUGAAGUUUUACAAUGUGAAAUAUUUAUAAAUUAUAAUUUUGUUGAGGAAGCGAGUGAAAACUAUUCGCUAUGUUAGGGAGCAUGAAGAAAGUAGAUGGUGAUGAAGGACAAAUGACAGCGAGUGGUGAUGACUAAUAACUAUUCUCGAAGCUGAACGGUUGCCUUCGCCGCUGAUAACAAUCAACAACUAAACCAUCGGAGAGGGUUAGUCAACCGACAGAAUUGUGAAAACUAUUGGCUAUAUACCAAAUUUUUCAAUUUCGUCCUUAUUUCGCGAAGGAUGAUUAGCGGGGUCAAUACUCAAUACCCAAAAGCCGAAACCUUUAUCCUCCCACGCUGGGGUAAGGGAUCAAUGAAGAAGACAGGCUGUUGCAGUUGCAGUAGCCCAAAGAGGACAAUCCAGUCCAAUGACGACAUAACAAAACCUUGAUGGUGUGUUUGGGUUGGACUGCCGUAACUUAGACCCAAACCCUCCUUUUGGUUUCACCACAUUGUUGUGUAACGUAAUACCUCCUUUUUAUCAAAAAAAGAAAGAAAAGAAAAACACAAUACCUUGUCGUGUAACCAAAAAACAAGUGCUUUGUUGUUCGGAUAUGAAUUUUUACACUGUGUCAGUAGUCGAUCGUUAAA